UCCCAGUUCGGAUUGCAGCCUGCAACUCGGCUGCAUGAAGCUGGAAUCGCUAGUAAUCGCGGAUCAGAAUGCCGCGGUGAAUACGUUCCCGGGUCUUGUACACACCGCCCGUCACACCAUGGGAGUAGGUAAUGCCCGAAGUCGGUGACCUAACCGGAAGGAAGGAGCCGCCGAAGGCAGGACUUAUAACUGGGGUGAAGUCGUAACAAGGUACC
rnacentral:rRNA from 1 species